UCACCUGCUCUUUACAAUGAAGCUCUUGUUGUCUCUCUGUCUCGUCUGGGUCCUUGUCAACACAGCUGAAGCAAUUCACUGUCUGCUGUGCAAGGAUUAUCCUGAGUGCAGAGAGGUUUUCUCAUACAACUGUUCCUCCGACAUGCUGUGUUCCACAAGGCACGUCAAAUUACAGGUAAUGGGAAUAUCCUCGCUGCACGUCGACAAGGUCUGUGUGUCAACCUCGAAGUGCAAAGUAGGAACUGCGAAUUAUUCAAUACACUUGGGUUCCAUGAGAGUAGUGGCAGCUGUUGAGUGCUGUGACGCAGAUUUCUGCAACUCUGCAACUCCGGCUAGUAAGUACAUUGUGGAGAACUGCACUUUUGAAUCAUUUCUGUGAAAAAAAUUAAAAAGUGUGGUGUUGAUC